rnacentral:rRNA from 1 species
AUUGAACGCUGGCGGCAUGCCUUACACAUGCAAGUCGAACGGCAGCACGGGAGCAAUCCUGGUGGCGAGUGGCGAACGGGUGAGUAAUGUAUCGGAACGUGCCCAGUCGUGGGGGAUAACGUAGCGAAAGCUACGCUAAUACCGCAUACGAUCUAUGGAUGAAAGCGGGGGACCGUAAGGCCUCGCGCGAUUGGAGCGGCCGAUGUCAGAUUAGGUAGUUGGUGAGGUAAAGGCUCACCAAGCCGACGAUCUGUAGCUGGUCUGAGAGGACGACCAGCCACACUGGGACUGAGACACGGCCCAGACUCCUACGGGAGGCAGCAGUGGGGAAUUUUGGACAAUGGGCGCAAGCCUGAUCCAGCCAUUCCGCGUGCAGGAUGAAGGCCUUCGGGUUGUAAACUGCUUUUGUACGGAACGAAAAGGUUUGGCCUAAUAAGCUGAGCUCAUGACGGUACCGCAAGAAUAAGCACCGGCUAACUACGUGCCAGCAGCCGCAGUAA